rnacentral:rRNA from 1 species
AUUGAACGCUGGCGGAAGGCCUAACACAUGCAAGUCGAACGAGUGGCGGACGGGUGAGUAAUGUCUGGGAAACUGCCCGAUGGAGGGGGAUAACUACUGGAAACGGUAGCUAAUACCGCAUCCCAUCGGAUGUGCCCAGAUGGGAUUACCUAGUAGGUGGGGUAACGGCGGACCUAGUCGACGAUCCCUAACUGGUCUGAGAGGAUGACCAGCCACACUGCAACUGUGACACGGGCCAGACGCCUACGGGAGGCAGCAGUGGGGAAUAUUGCACAAUUGGCGCAAGCCUGAUGCAGCCAUGCCGCGUGUAUGAAGAAGGCCUUCGGGUUGUAAAGUACUUUCAGCGAGGAGCAGUUACUCGCAGAAGAAGCACCGGCUAACUCCGUGACACCAGCCGCGGUAAUAC